rnacentral:lncRNA from 1 species
UUGACUUCACGCUGCGAUUGAGGGUUACAUUGCCUCUUACCUAGCUUGUUCUUACUUAUUUAAGUCACUAGCCCCAAUAGCAAUAGCAUCCAUCUCGCAACUUACACAAUAUUAUGGUGUAACUCCAUACUUGAAACAAGAAUCACGGUGGUAAUCUCACUCCAUACUUGAAAAAAGAAUCACAUAUAUAAUAGGCGCAGGCGCACCCGUCAAGUAAGCGUUAGCACAAACUCUGUUACUGCGGACUUCGUUAGCACAAACUCAGGUAUUCCUUGAGAGGUAGCCGUGGAAAAAGCAAUGAAUGAUGAGUUGACUCCUGUUGACGAGUUGACUAAACACUUUCCUACUUAUGGUUAAUGCUCGUGAAUAAUUGGAGAAGAAAUGGCCAAGACACUGGUCACCCAGCAAGCAGUAAGUGUUUUCGAAGCCCCUACUUAGUAAGGGUGGCAGCAGACUUCAAUCCUAUUUCUGCACUCAUGAACUUCCCUCUCUCCACCAGUUCUUGCCUUAAGCUAGUGUCCAUCAUCUGUUCUUGUUUCAUCCUAGUUAAUUGGUGACGAGUCUUUUUCUUCGACAUUAGCUUAGUCGAGUUCCAUAGAGAGUGUGUUUCUACAUUAGCCGAGUUCCAUAGAGAGCGUGUAUUUAGAAGCUUCUAUACCACAUGUGUUCGAUAGAUGAGAAAUGCAUUCAUGCCCUUAGAGAUAUAUGUCAGGACAGAACAAGCAAUCAGAUCAGAAGCGGUGCGCGUAGAGGAGUUGAUAGUUUCCAUUUGAAACCACCCCUCUCUCCACCUUGAAUUGAAUCUUUCUUAUCGAACGCAUAAGUUAGUCAUAAAGCAGAAGAUUGCAGUGCUGUCAAAGAUCAACGCAUAGAAGCUCCUUACGCUCAAUCACCUUGAGAAUGGAAAUUCUUGGACUCUAUUGAACUACAUCGGUAACGACUUGAGCCACAUAAGGAUUUGUUUGCAGUAAACCCUGAUUGAGAGUACUACUCGGGUCUGUAAACCCAUCUAUCUUUUCGAAUGGAAUGAGAAACUGCAGAAGCUGGAAAAGAAGCUGGGGGUAAUAAACAAGAUCUGAAAGUUAGAGAAGGAUCUUAAGCGGGAAGUUCAGUUUAGUUCAGGGAAGAAUAAGAAUAUAGUGAAGUUGAGAGAAAAGAGCAUAUAAAGAGACUUAACUAAGCUAGAGGAUACAGCGCUUUAGAAGGAAUCGAGGCAAGCAAACUCAGAAGCACUCUUUCUUUGUUUUUGAUUAAUAUAUGAUAGCUGUUGAUGGCGUACUCCAGAGCUUCCAUGUAGUCAGACUCACUCGCUCCCAAGGAAACUAUACUCAAACUAGAGGAUACAGCGCUUCAUAAGGAAAGGACGGAAAGAUAAUAGUAACAGAACAAGAUGUCGGGCUAAUGUUAGCUUAGGAGUAAAGGAGUCACGAUUGAGGUUACUACUUAAUCAUAUGCUACUUCUUUCUGGAAUUCCUGUUAUACUGGUCCAACAGUUAUUGCUUUACAAGUCUCUCGUAGAGUAUUUAGUCCUGGAU